rnacentral:ncRNA from 1 species
GGAAAUUCGUUGAAGAGGAAUAGUAACCUUGAAGUUUAGUUUUAGAGAGUCGGGGAUGGUGGAAACUCGAUACGAUAACUCUUGGUGAAUGGGCCUCUUAGAAGUAAAUCGAAAGCCGAUAUUUUAAGGUUAGUAGUGGUUACCGGAAGCCAACCGUUAUCUUAUGGAUAGGAUAUGUUUGUAUCUGAAAAGAGAUGUACUUUUGUUAUUUUUAGUUAAAACAAAAGUAUAAAAUAGGUGGCACCGCGGAUUAUACUCCGCCCUAUGU